CUGUGAACCUUACCCAUCGUUGCUUCGGCGGGACCGCCCCGGCGCCGGCUCAGGCCCGGAACCAGGCGCCCGCCGGAGGCCCGAAAACACUGUCGUCCAGCAAGGAUUUCUCCUCUGAUUGCACCAAAACAAUGAAUCAAAACUUUCAACAACGGAUCUCUUGGCUCUGGCAUCGAUGAAGAACGCAGCGAAAUGCGAUAAGUAAUGUGAAUUGCAGAAUUCAGUGAAUCAUCGAAUCUUUGAACGCACAUUGCGCCCGCCAGUAUUCUGGCGGGCAUGCCUGUCCGAGCGUCAUUUCAACCCUCAGGCCACGCCUGGCGUUGGGGAUCGGCGCGGGCGUCCCCCCCCCACCGGGGGUGGGCGCCCUGCCGGCCCCGAAAUACAGUGGCGGUCUCGCCGCGGUUCUCCCCUGCGUAGUAGCAACACCUCGCACCGGAGCGCGGCGCGGCCACGCCGUGAAACACCCCACAUCGGAAAGUUGACCUCGGAUCAGGUAGGAAUACCCGCUGAACUUAAGCAUAUCAA
rnacentral:rRNA from 2 species